rnacentral:rRNA from 1 species
GGUUAAGCGACUAAGCGUACACGGUGGAUGCCCUGGCAGUCAGAGGCGAUGAAGGACGUGCUAAUCUGCGAAAAGCGCCGGCGAGGUGAUAUGAACCCUUGACCCGGCGAUGUCCGAAUGGGGAAACCCAGUGUGUUCCGACACACUAUCGUUAACUGAAUACAUAGGUUAACGAGGCGAACCGGGGGAACUGAAACAUCUAAGUACCCCGAGGAAAAGAAAUCAACCGAGAUUCCCCCAGUAGCGGCGAGCGAACGGGGAGCAGCCCGGAGUCUGAAUCAGCUUGUGUGUUAGUGGAACGGUCUGGAAAGUCCGACGGUACAGGGUGAUAGUCCCGUACACGAAAAUGCACAUGCUGUGAACUCGAAGAGUAGGGCGGGACACGUGGUAUCCUGUCUGAAUAUGGGGGGACCAUCCUCCAAGGCUAAAUACUCCUGACUGACCGAUAGUGAACCAGUACCGUGAGGGAAAGGCGAAAAGAACCCCGGCGAGGGGAGUGAAAAAGAACCUGAAACCGUGUACGUACAAGCAGUGGGAGCCUCUUUAUGGGGUGACUGCGUACCUUUUGUAUAAUGGGUCAGCGACUUAUAUUCUGUAGCAAGGUUAACCGUAUAGGGGAGCCGAAGGGAAACCGAGUCUUAACUGGGCGUUAAGUUGCAGGGUAUAGACCCGAAACCCGGUGAUCUAGCCAUGGGCAGGUUGAAGGUUGGGUAACACUAACUGGAGGACCGAACCGACUAAUGUUGAAAAAUUAGCGGAUGACCUGUGGCUGGGGGUGAAAGGCCAAUCAAACCGGGAGAUAGCUGGUUCUCCCCGAAAGCUAUUUAGGUAGCGCCUCGUGAACUCAUCUUCGGGGGUAGAGCACUGUUUCGGCUAGGGGGCCAUCCCGGCUUACCAACCCGAUGCAAACUACGAAUACCGAAGAAUGUUAUCACGGGAGACACACGGCGGGUGCUAACGUCCGUCGUGAAGAGGGAAACAACCCAGACCGCCAGCUAAGGUCCCAAAGUCAUGGUUAAGUGGGAAACGAUGUGGGAAGGCACAGACAGCCAGGAUGUUGGCUUAGAAGCAGCCAUCAUUUAAAGAAAGCGUAAUAGCUCACUGGUCGAGUCGGCCUGCGCGGAAGAUGUAACGGGGCUAAACCAUGCACCGAAGCUGCGGCAGCGACGCUUAUGCGUUGUUGGGUAGGGGAGCGUUCUGUAAGCCGUUGAAGGUGUGCUGUGAGGCAUGCUGGAGGUAUCAGAAGUGCGAAUGCUGACAUAAGUAACGAUAAAGCGGGUGAAAAGCCCGCUCGCCGGAAGACCAAGGGUUCCUGUCCAACGUUAAUCGGGGCAGGGUGAGUCGACCCCUAAGGCGAGGCCGAAAGGCGUAGUCGAUGGGAAACAGGUUAAUAUUCCUGUACUUGGUGUUACUGCGAAGGGGGGACGGAGAAGGCUAUGUCAGCCGGGCGACGGUUGUCCCGGUUUAAGCAUGUAGGCGGAGGUUCCAGGUAAAUCCGGUACCUUAUUAACGCUGAGGUGUGAUGACGAGGCACUACGGUGCUGAAGUGAUAAAUGCCCUGCUUCCAGGAAAAGCCUCUAAGCAUCAGGUAACACGAAAUCGUACCCCAAACCGACACAGGUGGUCAGGUAGAGAAUACCAAGGCGCUUGAGAGAACUCGGGUGAAGGAACUAGGCAAAAUGGUGCCGUAACUUCGGGAGAAGGCACGCUGAUAUGUAGGUGAAGCCCCUGCGGGCGGAGCUGAAAUCAGUCGAAGAUACCAGCUGGCUGCAACUGUUUAUUAAAAACACAGCACUGUGCAAACACGAAAGUGGACGUAUACGGUGUGACGCCUGCCCGGUGCCGGAAGGUUAAUUGAUGGGGUUAGCGGCAACGCGAAGCUCUUGAUCGAAGCCCCGGUAAACGGCGGCCGUAACUAUAACGGUCCUAAGGUAGCGAAAUUCCUUGUCGGGUAAGUUCCGACCUGCACGAAUGGCGUAAUGAUGGCCAGGCUGUCUCCACCCGAGACUCAGUGAAAUUGAACUCGCUGUGAAGAUGCAGUGUACCCGCGGCAAGACGGAAAGACCCCGUGAACCUUUACUAUAGCUUGACACUGAACACUGGUCCUUGAUGUGUAGGAUAGGUGGGAGGCUUUGAAGCGUGGACGCCAGUCUGCGUGGAGCCGUCCUUGAAAUACCACCCUUUAAUGGCUGGUGUUCUAACGUAGACCCGUGAUCCGGGUUGCGGACAGUGUCUGGUGGGUAGUUUGACUGGGGCGGUCUCCUCCCAAAGAGUAACGGAGGAGCACGAAGGUUGGCUAAUCCUGGUCGGACAUCAGGAGGUUAGUGCAAUGGCAUAAGCCAGCUUGACUGCGAGCGUGACGGCGCGAGCAGGUGCGAAAGCAGGUCAUAGUGAUCCGGUGGUUCUGAAUGGAAGGGCCAUCGCUCAACGGAUAAAAGGUACUCCGGGGAUAACAGGCUGAUACCGCCCAAGAGUUCAUAUCGACGGCGGUGUUUGGCACCUCGAUGUCGGCUCAUCACAUCCUGGGGCUGAAGUAGGUCCCAAGGGUAUGGCUGUUCGCCAUUUAAAGUGGUACGCGAGCUGGGUUUAGAACGUCGUGAGACAGUUCGGUCCCUAUCUGCCGUGGGCGCUGGAGAAUUGAGGGGGGCUGCUCCUAGUACGAGAGGACCGGAGUGGACGCAUCACUGGUGUUCGGGUUGUCAUGCCAAUGGCACUGCCCGGUAGCUAAAUGCGGAAGAGAUAAGUGCUGAAAGCAUCUAAGCACGAAACUUGCCCCGAGAUGAGUUCUCCCUGAGAC